AUUGAACGCUGGCGGCAGGCCUAACACAUGCAAGUCGAACGAGUGGCGGACGGGUGAGUAAUGUCUGGGAAACUGCCCGAUGGAGGGGGAUAACUACUGGAAACGGUAGCUAAUACCGCAUACCAUCGGAUGUGCCCAGAUGGGAUUAGCUUGUAGGUGAGGUAACGGCUCACCUAGGCGACGAUCCCUAGAGGGUCUGAGAGGAUGACCGGCAAAACUGGAACGGAGACACGCUCCAGCCUGCUACGGGAGGGAGCAGUGGUGAAUAUGGCACAAGUGGCGCAAGCCUGAUGCAGCUACGCCGCGUGUAUGAAGAAGGCCUUCGGUUUGUAAAGUACUUUCAGCGGGGAGGCGUUGCCCGCAGAAGAAGCACCGGCUACCUCCGUGCCAGAAGCCGCGGUAAUUC
rnacentral:rRNA from 1 species